UACGUAGGGCGCAAGCGUUGUCCGGAAUUAUUGGGCGUAAAGAGCUCGUAGGCGGUCUGUCGCGUCUGCCGUGAAAACCCGAGCUUAACCUCGUGGCUUGCGGUGGAUACGGGCAGACUAGAGGUAGGGUAGGGGAGAAUGGAAUUCCCGGUGUAGCGGUGAAAUGCGCAGAUAUCGGGAGGAACACCGGUGGCGAAGGCGGUUCUCUGGGC
rnacentral:rRNA from 1 species